rnacentral:misc_RNA from 1 species
GUGAAUCAUCGAAUUUUUGAACGCAAAUUGCACUCUCCGGUUUUCCGGGAGAGUAUGCCUGUUUGAGGGUCAGCCUAAAAAAAAUCGACAUAGUUGCUGGUUCGCGGUGACAUUCGUCGGAAAUUUGGUCAUCUUAAAUUUUGGUGUUUUAAGCGGCUUAAUAUUUUCUUUACAAUUCCACGAACGUUUCUAAGAUUUUACUUCUUACACACGUAUAAGGUAUCGAUCUUUAUUAGACGUGUCUGCUGCAUCGGAUCGCGUCCAUAAAUAUCUUGACA